AACGGCUGGCGGCGUGGAUUAGGCAUGCAAGUCGAACGGUAGGAUACCUUCGGGUAUCUGAGAGUGGCGAACGGGUGAGUAACACGUAGGUGAUCUAACCCUCCAAGAUUGGGACAACCCAGGGAAACUUGGGCUAAUACCGGAUGAAAGCAGCAGUGAUGUGUUUGAAAGGUGGCGUAAGCUGCCGUUUGGGGAUGAGCCUGCGCUCUAUUAGUUAGUUGGCGGGGUAAAGGCCCACCAAGGCGAUGAUAGAUAGGCGGCCUUAACGGGUGGUCGCCCACACUGGGAUUGAGAUACGGCCCAGACUCCUACGGGAGGCAGCAGUCGAGAAUAGUCUACAAUGGCCGAAAGGCUGAUAGUGCGACGCCGCGUGAACGAAGAAGCCCUUCGGGGUGUAAAGUUCUUUUAUAUGUGAGCAGUGCUUUCUAUGUGAACAGCAUGGGGAGAGAGAUAUUAGCAUAUGAAUAAGCAACGGCUAACUCCGUG
rnacentral:rRNA from 1 species